GAGUGCUUGCACUGAAUGGACGUCGAGCGGCGCACGGGUGAGUAACGCGUAUCCAACCUUCCCGUUACUGCGGGAUAACCUGCCGAAAGGCAGACUAAUACCGCAUGUUCUUCGAUGACGGCAUCAGAUUCGAAGCAAAGAUCCGUCGGUAACGGAGGGGGAUGCGUCUGAUUAGCUUGUUGGCGGGGCGACGGCCCACCAAGGCGACGAUCAGUAGGGGUUCUGAGAGGAAGGUCCCCCACAUUGGAACUGAGACACGGUCCAAACUCCUACGGGAGGCAGCAGUGAGGAAUAUUGGUCAAUGGGCGGAAGCCUGAACCAGCCAAGUAGCGUGCAGGACGACGGCCCUACGGGUUGUAAACUGCUUUUAUGCGGGGAUAAAGUGAGGGACGUGUCCCUUUUUGCAGGUACCGCAUGAAUAAGGACUGGCUAAUUCCGUGCCAGCAGCCGCGGUAAUACGGAAGGUCCGGGCGUUAUCCGGAUUUAUUGGGUUUAAAGGGAGCGUAGGCCGGGGAUUAAGUGUGUUGUGAAAUGUAGGCGCCCAACGUCUGACUUGCAGCGCAUACUGGUUCCCUUGAGUACGCGCAACGCCGGCGGAAUUCGUCGUGUAGCGGUGAAAUGCUUAGAUAUGACGAAG
rnacentral:rRNA from 1 species